rnacentral:rRNA from 1 species
AUGCAGAGCCUUUGGUAUAUGCAGCCGCACUCCCUUGCCGCCACUUGCUACUUCAAGUCCGCUGACAGCCACGUUGGAAACGAGGGCUUCUCCAUAGCCCGCCUCAAUCUCCACCUCUCUUUCUUGGCGAGGAACAUAUUUUUGCAGGCUAGGAGGAAGCUUGAGAACUUGCCGCCCGAUCUCGCCAGGGCGAUGAGAUGGAGGCCUGCUCACUGCUGCUCCGCUGUUCGUUACACUUUCAAGGCCUCAGGGAGCAUCGCCUUACCGACGACCUCUUCCUCAACAAGCUUGUCGUGGAGUGCGUCGUCGGGUCAACUCCAAUGUCCUUUAUUUUGA